UAGCCAUGGAUGAAUUGCCUG
rnacentral:miRNA from 1 species